rnacentral:tRNA from 1 species
UAGGGAGACCUACCCUUGAUUACUCCGAACCAAUUUGAAAUAGGAGAAUUGAGUGGUCACUCUAGGUCGUUCAGGACUUUGAGAUUAGUUUCUAGACUAUGGUUGAGGUUUAUUUCUUAGAUUCGUUCAUUUUUGAGUGAAUCAAAAGGAACUAAACACGGGCUAUUAGCUCAGGUGGUUAGAGCGCACCCCUGAUAAGGGUGAGGUCCCUGGUUCGAGUCCAGGAUGGCCCACUUGUGGGGGUUUAGCUCAGUUGGUAGAGCGCCUGCUUUGCAAGCAGGAUGUCAGCGGUUCGAGUCCGCUAACCUCCACCACGACAGACCACGUUGAUAAUUGGGAAUCAAUUCAGCACAGUGUGUUUUGGGGUAGACCGAGGCAUAGUUUGCUGGGUGAGAGCCUAGCGAAGAACCUUGAAAACUGAAUAGAAGAGAAGUGUAAGGUAGUACACACAGAACAUUCAAAGUUCGUUGAGAGAAGAGUGAACUUGAUUAGUUUUAGAU